rnacentral:rRNA from 1 species
GUGGGGAAUCUUCCACAAUGGACGAAAGUCUGAUGGAGCAACGCCGCGUGAGUGAAGAAGGGUUUCGGCUCGUAAAGCUCUGUUGUCGGGGACGAAUGUGCAGUAUUUGAAUAAAGUACUGCAAUGACGGUACCUGACGAGGAAGCCACGGCUAACUACGUGCCAGCAGCCGCGGUAAUACGUAGGUGGCAAGCGUUGUCCGGAAUUAUUGGGCGUAAAGGGAGCGCAGGCGGGAAGGUAAGUCGGUCUUAAAAGUGCGGGGCUCAACCCCGUGAUGGGAUCGAAACUAGCUUGCUUGAGUGCAGGAGAGGAAAGUGGAAUUCCUAGUGUAGCGGUGAAAUGCGUAGAUAUUAGGAGGAACACCAGUGGCGAAGGCGACUUUCUGGACUGUAACUGACGCUGAGGCUCGAAAGCCAGGGGAGCGAACGGGAUUAGAAACCCGAGUAGUCC